GACGAACCGUGCGAACGUUGUUCGGAAUCACUGGGCUUAAAGGGCGCGUAGGCGGCUUUAUAAGUCGGGGGUGAAAGCCUGUGGCUCAACCACAGAAUUGCCUUCGAUACUGUAGAGCUUGAGACCGGAAGAGGUAAGUGGAACUGCGAGUGUAGAGGUGAAAUUCGUAGAUAUUCGCAAGAACACCAGUGGCGAAGGCGGCUUACUGGUCCGGUUCUGACGCUGAGGCGCGAAAGCGUGGGGAGCAAACAGG
rnacentral:rRNA from 1 species